UACGGGGGGAGCAAGCGUUGUUCGGAAUUACUGGGCGUAAAGGGCUCGUAGGCGGCCAACUAAGUCAGACGUGAAAUCCCUCGGCUUAACCGGGGAACUGCGUCUGAUACUGGAUGGCUUGAGUUUGGGAGAGGGAUGCGGAAUUCCAGGUGUAGCGGUGAAAUGCGUAGAUAUCUGGAGGAACACCGGUGGCGAAGGCGGCAUCCUGGACCAACACUGACGCUGAGUGAGCGAAAGCCAGGGGAGCAAACAGG
rnacentral:rRNA from 1 species